rnacentral:rRNA from 1 species
AAACCAACCGGGAUUGCCUUMGUAACGGCGAGUGAAGCGGCAAAAGCUCAAAUUUGAAAUCUGGUACCUUCGGUGCCCGAGUUGUAAUUUGUAGAAGGUAACUUUGGGGCUGGUCCUUGUCUAUGUUCCUUGGAACAGGACGUCAUAGAGGGUGAGAAUCCCGUGUGGCGAGGAUCCCAGUUCUUUGUAAAGUGCUUUCGAAGAGUCGAGUUGUUUGGGAAUGCAGCUCUAAGUGGGUGGUAAAUUCCAUCUAAAGCUAAAUAUUGGCGAGAGACCGAUAGCGAACAAGUACAGUGAUGGAAAGAUGAAAAGAACUUUGAAAAGAGAGUGAAAAAGUACGUGAAAUUGUUGAAAGGGAAGGGCAUUUGAUCAGACAUGGUGUUUUGCGCCCUCUGCUCCUUGUGGGUGGGGGAAUCUCGCAGCUCACUGGGCCAGCAUCAGUUUUGGCGGCAGGAUAAAUCUGCAGGAAUGUAGCUUGCCUCGGUAAGUGUUAUAUCCUGUAGAAAUACUGCCAGCUGGGACUGAGGACUGCGACUUUACGUCAAGGAUGCUGGCAUAAUGGUUAUAUGCCGC